rnacentral:rRNA from 1 species
GACGAACCGUGCGAACGUUAUUCGGAAUCACUGGGCUUAAAGCGCGUGUAGGCGGGUGGGAACGUCGGCCGCUGAAAUCCCCCGGCUCAACCGGGGAAGGGGCGCCGAAACGACCGCCCUGGAGGGACGUAGGGGGGGCUGGAACUUCCGGUGGAGCGGUGAAAUGCGUUGAGAUCGGAAGGAACGCCCGUGGCGAAAGCGAGCCCCUGGACGUCUACUGACGCUGAGACGCGAAAGCCAGGGGAGCGAACGGG